UACAGAGGUCCCAAGCGUUGUUCGGAUUCACUGGGCGUAAAGGGUGCGCAGGUGGCGCUUCAAGUUUGAUGUGAAAGCUUCGGGCUCAACCCGGAAAUGGCAUUGAAUACUGGAGUGCUUGAGGUUUGGAGGGGGGACUGGAAUUCUCGGUGUAGCAGUGAAAUGCGUAGAUAUCGAGAGGAACACCAGUGGCGAAGGCGAGUCCCUGGACAACACCUGACACUGAGGCACGAAAGCUAGGGGAGCAAAC
rnacentral:rRNA from 1 species